rnacentral:rRNA from 1 species
ACCUUCGGUCUAGCGGCGGACGGGUGAGUAACGCGUGGGAAUAUGCCCUUCGGUUCGGAAUAGCCCCGGGAAACUGGGGGUAAUACCGGAUACGGUCUACGGACGAAAGAUUUAUCGCCGAAGGAUUAGCCCGCGUUGGAUUAGGUAGUUGGUGGGGUAAUGGCCUACCAAGCCGACGAUCCAUAGCUGGUUUGAGAGGAUGAUCAGCCACACUGGUACUGAGACACGGACCAGACUCCUACGGGAGGCAGCAGUGAGGAAUAUUGGACAAUGGGCGCAAGCCUGAUCCAGCCAUGCCGCGUGCAGGAAGACGGCCCUAUGGGUUGUAAACUGCUUUUAUACGGGAAGAAACACCCCCUCGUGAGGGGGCUUGACGGUACCGUAAGAAUAAGGAUCGGCUAACUCCGUGCCAGCAGCCGCGGUAAUACGGAGGAUCCAAGCGUUAUCCGGAAUCAUUGGGUUUAAAGGGUCCGUAGGUGGACGGUUAAGUCAGGGGUGAAAGUCUGCAGCUCAACUGUAGAAUUGCCCUUGAUACUGGUCGUCUUGAAUUAUUGUGAAGUGGUUAGAAUAUGUAGUGUAGCGGUGAAAUGCAUAGAUAUUACAUAGAAUACCAAUUGCGAAGGCAGAUCACUAACAAUAUAUUGACACUGAUGGACGAAAGCGUGGGUAGCCGAACAGGAUUAGAUACCCUGGUAGUCCACGCCGUAAACGAUGGAUACUAGCUGUUCGGUUUAUCUGAGUGGCUUAACCAAAGUGAUAAGUAUCCACCUGGGGAGUACGGGCGCAGCCUGAAACUCAAANGAAUUGACGGGG